UACGUAAGGUGCAAGCGUUAAUCGGAAUUACUGGGCAUAAAGCGUGCGCAGGCGGUUUUGUAAGUCUGUCGUGAAAUCCCCGGGCUCAACCUGGGAAUUGCGAUGGAGACUGCAAGGCUAGAAUCUGGCAGAGGGGGGUAGAAUUCCACGUGUAGCAGUGAAAUGCGUAGAGAUGUGGAGGAACACCGAUGGCGAAGGCAGCCCCCUGGGUCAAGAUUGACGCUCAUGCACGAAAGCGUGGGGAGCAAACAGG
rnacentral:rRNA from 1 species